ensembl:lncRNA
UGAUGAGGUAACAGUGGCUGCCAACAACAGCUGCCGGCUGUAUUUACUGCUGCUGAGAUGAGCACUUUAUCUGCUUUCUACUUUAACCCUCACAACCGCCCCAUGAAGUAGACACCGCCAUCGCUAACUGCAUUGAAAAGAUGAGGAAACAGGCUCAGAGGUGAAGUUAAGGACGGAGCGGGGGUUCUAGCCCACGGGGUCUGGCUCUCAGAGCCCACCCUGACUGCUUCUUUGCGCUGACUUCCCCUCUAAUCCCUCAACCAAAGCCUCAGUCAACCCUUUCUCCCAGAAACAUCUCUAUUGAUUUUCUUUUUGAAGGCGCCUAGGAAGCUUAUACAAAUAAUUAAAGUCUCCUGCAGGCCAGGGGAGAGAAAUCUAGACUCUCCUGCUGAAGUCCCAGGGCCUGGGGUCCCUGGAAGAUCAGGGGCUCCAGAAAGAAGGGUCAGGAAAGGAAAGGCAAGUUCAGGAUCCCGAGACCUGGACUCCAGACUGGUUCUGCCCUGAACGCUGUGGAUCUUGAGCAAAGCCUUUCCCACCAGCUCCACGAGCUACAGCGUGAGGAUACUGUCACUCAGCAGAUGUUUAUUGCUGUCUCUGACGCAGGGCUGGAGGCGUCAGGAAGAACAAAUGAUUCUAAUAAAAGGUUCUGGAGGUUUAAAGAAGUCUGCAAGGAUCAAGAAAGGCUUUGUGACAGUCGUACCAUUUAAGACAGGCUGUACAGCAAGGUUGGGGCCCCAAGGGCCAGCGGUGUGGGGAAAGGGUGUUCCUGGAGGGGUGGUGCUGACAGGGACGUGGAGGUGACACAGCCCAGUUCUGGCUCAUGGACUGAGACCGUUCCAGAGGCCCAAAGGCUCCCUGGAGACAGUGCAGCCCUCUCAUUUCAAGGUGUGGACACUAAGAUUAAGACGUAGAACUGAGUUGCCCAAGGUGUCUCUGGAGAGUACCACAAUGUGUUGGCCAGGGUCCCAGCACGAAGCGGCUGGCAGCUUCUAGAUGAAAAACUUGAUGACAAUGUAAUACGGGGCGAUGUAUAAAGGUGUGGGCAGAUACAUGUAACCACGCAGGUCAGUGCAGUUCCCUAGGGUGACCUCACAAUUCCCUAAGCCUGAAAGACAGAGAGCAGUGACUGGAGCACAGAAGGGGCACCAUGUGGAGAGGCCCUGACGGCCGCAGCCUUCAGCAGUGCAAAGCCAGCCUGAUGUAGGGAAGGGGAGAAAAUCCUUCCCCUCUACCCACCUCAGAUUCUCCUCCUGGGUCCCUGUAAAUUAGACUGACAAAAGGCAGAUCAACAGGAGAAAGACAAACCGCAGUGCAGUGGCGUGUGCCUGGCCCAGACACAUGGAGCCCUGGGAUGAGCGGCUCAGAGGGGUGGUUGGAACUGGGGCUCAAGUAGCCGCUUAACCAAAGAACGAUAACUCUGUAGAGAAGUGAAGACAAAGAAAAGGACUUUGAGCAUCCAGGGGGGCAAACUGUGAGAAGCCCCCAGAAGACCCCAGGACCUGGACGGCUCCGUCAGGGUGAUGCCAAAGGAGGGGACACUGAGAGCCCAGUUUCCGGACACAGGCACGGAGCCUUUCCUGAGCUGCAGAGAAAGAUAUGGCAGGUGGAAGACAUCUUGGACGAACUGAAUAAAGAGUUCUUCCAGCUCACUGCUCAAGCCCUAGAGCUCCAGAAAGAAGAGCACCAGCCAGACCACCUGCCCCCAAGGAAACACAGUACAUUUGCGGUGGUUCCCAGCAUCUUCCCUCAUGCAGAGCAGGAAGACAGACCUAACCCAGCAGAGGCAGGCGGCCCAGACAGAAAGAGUGUGGGAACCUGGGCCCUGAAGAGCGAGCAGGCCCUGAUCCUGGCGGUGAGGAGAGCCUGCCUGGCUCAGAGGAUCGAAGGCCUGGACUGGGAGCUGUCCCUGCUCCUCCAGGUGGCAGAGGGCAGCACGUGUGCAGGAUGGAGCCAGCCCAGCCUGGGGAGACGCUGAGUCACCCAGGGUGCUGCGGCGGUCAUCUGUGGCAGUGCCUUCUCCACAAAGAACAUGGCCAGGUUACUCUGCGCACUCCAGGCAGGAAGACGUGGGCGUCGCAGGGGCCGCCCUGGCUGGGAAUGUGAGCUCGGUUAUGGCAUGCUCCUAUCUGGUAACACCCAGGUUUCUUUCAGAGCCUGGACCUCGGCUUGUGCUGAUUGCUAUCUGUGAUCCUUUGGGGUGAGGGAAAAUAAAGUCACACAGGUUGAGAAUAUCAACGUGUGUUCCCAUCGCUGAGUCCAUCCCUCAAUCCUCUCAUCAGGGCACUGGCCAUUGGAUGCUGUGGUCCCCCAAAACCUCACUUGGGGCACCUGGCUUCAGGGGUGAGAUGUGCUUGGGGUAGGGACCAUGAGAACCUAGGUGCAGCUGCAGCUUCCA